UAUAAGUUUAAAGGCAUUUAAAGCCAAUUAAUAGCAUUCUGAGACAUACUGUAGAGGGGUAUAUUAUAAAAACAUAGACUGCAAAUGCAAGGAAAGCUAGCUUGUCGCACAGCAGUCCUCAAACCGAGGGUUCCUCGAGAGGUAUCCAAAUCUACAAAAAGGUGCACAGGUGGUUAAAGAAAGACUGGUGUUUAGGCGUGCACAUGCCCCGGAGAGCCAGCGACAACCCAACCAAGCUUGCUCAUUAAUGAUCCUUCCGCAGGUUCACCUACGGAAA
rnacentral:misc_RNA from 1 species